GACGAACGCUGGCGGCGUGCUUAGCACAUGCAAGUCGAGCGGUAAGGCCCUUUCGGGGGUACGACGAGCGGCGAACGGGUGAGUAACACGUGGGUGACCUGCCCUCAGCUCUGGGAUAAGCCUGGGAAACCGGGUCUAAUACCGGAUAUGACUCCAUGACGCAUGUUGUGGGGUGGAAAGCCUUGUGCGGCUGAGGAUGGGCCCGCGGCCUAUCAGCUUGUUGGUGGGGUGAGGCCUACCAAGGCGACGACGGGUAGCCGGCCUGAGAGGGCGACCGGCCACACUGGGACUGAGACACGGCCCAGACUCCUACGGGAGGCAGCAGUGGGGAAUCUUGCGCAAUGGGCGAAAGCCUGACGCAGCGACGCCGCGUGAGGGAUGACGGCCUCGG
rnacentral:rRNA from 1 species